UACAUAUACUUUAUUUUCAUAUUUAACACUAGACCUCCCUAAAAUAAAUUGCCUUUCGAUGACCAGGACGAAUUGAGUGAAAUCGUCAUGGACAGAUACAGGGCAGACAGUU